rnacentral:rRNA from 1 species
GACGGAGGAUGCAAGUGUUAUCCGGAAUCACUGGGCGUAAAGCGUCUGUAGGUUGUUAAACAAGUCAACUGUUAAAUCUUGAGGCUCAACUUCAAAAUCGCAGUCGAAACUGUUUGACUAGAGUAUAGUAGGGGUAAAGGGAAUUUCCAGUGGAGCGGUGAAAUGCGUAGAUAUUGGAAAGAACACCGAUGGCGAAGGCACUUUACUGGGCUAUUACUGACACUCAGAGACGAAAGCUAGGGUAGCAAAUGGGAUUAGAUACCCCAGUAGUCCUAGCUGUAAACAAUGGAUACUAGAUGUUGAACAGAUCGACCUGUGCAGUAUCAAAGCUAACGCGUUAAGUAUCCCGC